rnacentral:rRNA from 1 species
CCCUUAGAUGUUCUGGGCCGCACGCGUGCUACACUGAACGGUUCAAUGGGUAAGGUAGUGCGAAAGCAUGACCUAAUCUCGAAAUCCGUUCGUGCUGGGGAUAGAAGCUUGCAAUUAUCCUUCUUGAACGAGGAAUACCUUGUAAGCGUGAGUCAUCAUCUCACGCUGAAUACGUCCCUGCCCUUUGUACACACCGCCCGUCGCUCCUACCGAUUGAGUGUUCCGGUGAGGCUUUGGGAGAAUGGCCUCAACAUGGGUUUAUCGUGUUUUGCCGUUUGAACUUAGUCAAACCUUAUCACUUAGAGGAAGGAGAAGUCGUAACA